AGAAAAGGGGGAGUGGGCGCCUCCCAGCCCCGCGGACACACCUCGACUGCCCUGGUUGCCACAGUAACCGGGGAAGUUUCGAAGUGCGCAGGCGCAAAGUGGCACAGGGCUCUACUCCUGAUCCUUCACCCCUCUAAUCCACCAGCAGAGAACCCUGGCUCCUAGGAGAGACUGCCACUCAUCCCCCUCCACCCCCGCGCAACUUCAAGGACAAAGUCUGGAGAGGGAUCAUGGGGCGUCCCAGCUUCCACGCACUUCAAGCCUAGGGAGCAAACGUGGCCAGAGGGCCCAAAGAGUCUGAAACCUGAAAAGGGAUCCCCCUGUCCCCAGCCCGUCCACCUCCCCAACAGAGCCUGAGGGGGGCGCUGGCAGCAGGAAGCCCGGAAUAGCCCCGGAGGCGCACAGGCCCCACAGUGGAGCGAUCCUGCCAGCAUAUAUCAGCUCACCAGGACUUGACUGGAACACAUCCUUCCCCCCACAACGUGGUGUCCAGCCCCUGCCCCACCCCACCACUCACUCCUCUCUGGAGGCAGCAGGCUCUGCAGUGUUCCUGCUCCUACCUCAUUACCCCAGCCCUGAUCCUGUAUCUCUCCAGUCUCUCCUCCCCCUGGCUCUGUGCUCCUUAAGCCUGGAAGGCACCGGAGGGUGAGGUCAAAGCUAAUACGCAGUGGACACUGCUGGGGGUGGGAGUGCUCCCCACUCAGGCCUCUCUUCCUCACCCCCCUACCUCUUUUCUCCUCCUCCCUGGGAUGGGAGGGAGCAAGGGGGCGGGGAACCCAGCCCCCACAGCUCCCUCCUGGGUGAACAAGAGGAAAGGAAUGAGGCAGGUGUGUCGGGCUGCUCCCGCUUACCCCUCCUCUCCGGGGGACUCUAACCCGCCUGCCUGUGGGGCUGUCUUUUGGGGGUUGGGGAGAGAAACUCUGUCCUCCCCAGAAGCAGCGGAGCUGAGCAUGUGUAAGGCCUGGCUGUCGUGGGCAUGUCCAGGAGCUGCCGGGAUGCAGGCAGUUGGAGGAGAGAAGCUGAAGGCAAGCUAGUUGGGGCAAAACUCUCAACAGGGAUACACCACCAUAAGAGCGUCCUUUCCUUCUCACCCCUACCCUGAGGUAGGGAGACAUGGGCUAAAGAAAUAUGGGGAUUCGUGUAGGCUGGCAAUCGGGAAAAGGAACAAGACUUCAUCCUUGUCUGGUUCAUCCAGAAGGGUGCCAUUCUGGGUAAAAUGAGGCAGGAAGCAGGAUCCUCAACUUGGAGCAGCAGGAGGUCUGGAUGAAGUAGGUGAAGUGCUCUUUCUCUGAGAUCCCGACCACUCUACCUCCGUCUCUACCACCCUCCUCCUUGAGGGUUUGGGACAAAGGAGGCCAAGGAAGGAUGUCUCUUCGCCUCUGGCCUUACUUACAUACCCCAUCUCCCCUGCAUGCACUCAGAGAGACCAGCAUCCAGACAGUGAGUCUCCUGGCCCUCCCCCACCACCCUCCUCCCUGCCGCACCUUCUAGCCCCACCUGCUCCCUGGGGCGCUGGGCUGGCUGGGUUGAGCUGGGUCUUGCCCAGGAUUACUCCUCGCAGAGUGCCUGUCUCUGCCGAAGGGUGCUGCUGGGCACCGCCACUCGUCCUGGCUUGUGGCAGAGGGCUCAGGCACAAGGUGGACAACUAGAGCUCUGGAAUUAAGAGCUCCGGAUCCAGCUUCUUGUCAACAUCCCCCUGGCCUCCAUUCAGGCAGGUCCCAUCUGGUUUGGAAGAUGGCUGUAGUUUCCUAACUGGCCCCCUGUUGUUAACUCCUCCCCUCUUCAUUCAGUUCCCCAGCACAGUGAGCCAUGUGGGAAUCAGACCAUGACACUCACCUGUUCAAGACCCUCUGAAAGUUUCUCAUUCCUCUGAAAAUCCCAACUCCUUAUGAUGGCCCAGAGGGACAUGUGAUGUGACUCUUGCCUGCCCUCCCAACUCCUCUCCUGCUAACCUGCCCUUGAUUGCUUCAUCCGAUCACACUGGCCUCUUGGCUGUUCCUCCUGAGGAGAUCUCUCUCACCACCGACCUUUGGCAUUCACAUGGCCUCGGCCUGGAAAGCCCUUUCCCUCAAUCUGUGCGGGGCUAUCUUCGGCACACAGGUCUCAGCAUGAGUAACAUAACUCAGAGAGGCCUUCUCAGACCAAUGACUUUAUCUAAAGAGGCCACACUCCUACCUAUGUGUCUUAUUCAUCAAUACCUUGUACCUUAUUCAUCAAUAAAUGAAUCAAUGAAAAA